ACCUCAGAGGAUGCCACCUUAAAAUCGUCAUGGUGGAUGGAAGUCUGACUCCGGUCCUCGUCCGUCCCAGUGUCCAGACAACUUGCACUGCCAUUUCAUCUGCACAAACAGCUCAUCGUCGGCAUUUCUAGUUUUAGAAAACAAUUAGUAGACAAUUGCCAAGAAUUACGAUGUACAGAACGAGUAACAAAGACGCUUUCCUGUUCUCCUUUCUGUUGGAAGUUACCGCGCCAUCUAGGUGGAGCAUAGGAAGCAGCAAUCAUCCGCACCUGUUGCCAAUUAAAGCAUUAAUGGCCCAUCAAUCAAGGAGAAAUCACUGGGAAUGGAGAUGACACAGGCUCUGUGCUCCUGUCAGUUUUUUGGAAGACAUCCUCUGCUUCAAGAAGUGAGAUCUGCAAGUCACACCCUCCAAACUGCACUUUCUACUUCUUGGAAAUGAUUUCAGCAGCUCAGUCUGCAAGGCCACAUGUCUCUCCCUGUGGGGAAAUGAUUGUCGUAGAAUUCAGAAGCUCUCUUUGACUGAAUAUGGUCAGUGCAUAUUCCUGUUAGAAGAAGCAAAGCAAAGCCUUGCAUGUGGUAGGUGUCCAAUUCAUCUGUGCUGGUUAAUGAAAUAAAGAAGGUUCGGUACCUGCCCAUCACUUUUCCAAUUGGAAUAUAAAGGAAAUGUACCUAAAACUUCCCUAAUGAUAUUUUCGUUCCCUGCCUCAGAGGACAUACAUUAUUAUAUAUCAACAGUGUGCUUUGUAACUUGAGCUAGAGAGCUAGCAGCCUCUGACCAUGUACUCAACCCCAUUUUCUAGUUUCGUAAUGGCCAUAGUUUACAUAAAGGUCCCCCAAAGCACAUAUGUGUAUGGAUUUGUUCUCAGGAAUUCAUUCUGGCAUUGUGUAGUUCUGUGGGAUUUUAGGAAGCAGGACCUUGCUGGAUGCCCUUAGGUCACUGAGGGUGUAAGGAUUGUACCACCUCUAAGGGUUGGCUAGUAUUGGACUUCUAAGUUGUCCAAAGCCAUGGGUCCAAAAAUAAAUAUUACUUCAUAAAUAUCUGUGUCAGAAAUUUUGUUACAGAGAUGCAAACAUGACUAACAUAAUAUUCCAGGUAGCUCCAAUCUCAAAGUUCAAAUAAUCCUUAGAAUAUAUUUAAGGAUAUAAUAGUAUCUCCAAAAUUUGAAUUGGUGAAAAUGGAGAAAAAGUGGGAUUUCUAAUUUGGGGCUUUUAGCCAUAGGACACUCUGAAGUUACUAUUUUAAAGCCUGCCUAGGAUUUUCUAUCCUUUACCAAGA